GUCGACAUGUCCGAGUGAUGAAGGACAGACUCGAAAUCUGUUGGGAUUUUCUUGCAUAGGUUCGAAUCCUGUUGUUGAUG
rnacentral:tRNA from 1 species